AUGGAUAAUAACAACAAAGUUUGGAUGUCGAAGAUUCCACUAAAAGUUAAAAUCUUCAUGUGGUAUCUUUGUAGAGGAGUUGUGCUAAGCAAAGACAAUCUCUCCCGUCGCAAUUUACAAGGAAACAAGAAGUGUAGUUUUUGUACUAAUGACGAGACAAUCAAACACCUUUUUUUAUUACAAGUUUGCACGUUCUACGUGAUCAGUCAUCCAAAUAGCCUCUAA
rnacentral:rRNA from 1 species